GACAGACCCAGAAUUCCCCAAUCACGACGCGUCGAGGAGUGCGCGCCCUUCAUCGUUUCCAGGCUGGAGAGCGAUCGGUCGAUACAAGUGGUUGUGACCUCGUCAAUCUCGACCCCAACAGCGAACGAGACGUUAGAAAACGUGGGCGACGUUUGAGGAAAGUUGUCCGUCUGUAAUCCCAAAAGGCAAAUCUCGACCCGGGGCAAACGCCUGACAGAGACGUUGAUGUUGAUUUUAUAACUAAUCGUCGAUGCUAUCGUGAUAAAAAUUAUUUGAUAAAAAAUGACAAUUACGAUGUUCGCUGUUGAAUGUGAUGUUAAAUAUAGGCAGUCACUGUUUCACUCUAUAAUAUUAUACACAAAAAAUUGAUAAUGAAUUUUUUCCAACCCGCUUAUA
rnacentral:misc_RNA from 1 species